AGGUGGCUGGACAGCUUGGUGU
rnacentral:miRNA from 1 species